CUCCGGGAGCUGAUUUGGUUAGAGGCUGUGGAGCAGGGAUAAAGCUGGCUAAUGCCGUGUGCUGUUGGCUUUCAACAAUUCCGGUAGCCUAGAUAGAGAAACUGAAGCACGGAGAGGUUAUGCAGCUUGCCCAGGUUCACGCAACUGGUAAGAACAGCAUCGGAGUCCAUGUUCGUAUCACUCAAGAUGUUCUGUUGGGGACAGCAUGCCGUGGUCUUGAGGUGAAGGAAACACCAACAGGUGAGUGGGAUGUGAGAGAAGAUGAAGGUAAUCGGUAAAGAGUGUGUUACAAGCCAGCCUCCACCCUGCGCAGCUGGAGCUGAAGCCUACUCUGGAAAACGAUGUUCCACUCACCCCGCAGAGUCACCAGGACCAACUCCUGUAAGUCAAUUGUUGAACAUUGAUGGGCUGUUAAUACUUUCACACUUUCAGCCUGCCUGCAUGGGUGGACAAAGUGUGCUUAGGUGGCCGAAGAAAG